rnacentral:lncRNA from 1 species
CAGCAUGCCAAAGGAGAGGGUCACCAUGUAGACCAGGAGGACUGGUACUGACUCUAUAGAGAAAUAUCACUGCUGCUGCAGAAUGCCAGCAAGAAAGAAAACCUCUGAAAUCCAGAAGAUGCUCUGAGAUUCCUCCAGAGACCCCCAUAUCCAGCUGUAAAAGUUAAUGGAUGAUCCCAGGAGCCCACAGUAGGCAGGAUGACAAAGGGCUCAAUAUGUAAUAAAAAGGAUGAUGUACCUCAACUCAACAGGAAUCUCAUUAUGACUGAGGUUGAGUUGCUGACCAGGUGUAAAUGGAAGGGAACAGCACUGAAACUGAUAUCAAUAAGAAUGGAGUCCAAGUUAAAGACAGGUACACCUGAAAUAUAUCAAGUUGCAGUUCCCUGGCUGUGGAAGUGUCCAGUACUUAGAGCGAGCUUUCGUCCACUCCUCACAGAAGUCAAGAUUGAGUUCUUCCAUCUCCCCAUGCAGCCCCACACUCGGAUCCCCCUUCACCCUUCUCCCUGACCCUCUUCAGAGACAAUUUGUAAUCAGUAAGCACCACUGCAAUUUAAGGAAG